rnacentral:rRNA from 1 species
UACAGAGGGGGCGAGCGUUGUUCGGAAUUACUGGGCGUAAAGGGCGCGUAGGCGGGAUGGCAAGUCGGUCGUGAAAUCCUUCGGCUCAACCGAAGAACGUCGAUCGAUACUGCUGUUCUUGAGGGUUGCAGAGGAGACUGGAAUUCCCGGUGUAGCGGUGAAAUGUGUAGAGAUCGGGAGGAACACCGGUGGCGAAGGCGGGUCUCUGGGCAGUUCCUGACGCUGAGGCGCGAAGGCCAGGGGAGCAAACGGG